rnacentral:lncRNA from 13 species
AUUUCUUUUCUUUCUCUUUCUCUCUCUUUUUGCUUAUCUAUGUCCAAUUGUUAUAAUACCUUUUUUUUUGUAUUGGAAUACUUUUCAAUUUUGUCAAAAAUCAGUGGAGAAUAUUUAUAUGGUGUAUUUUCAGAUUUUUAUUCUGUUCCAUUUAUCUGUUAAUCCAAUGCUAAUACCAUACAAUCUUUGUGGAGAUAGAUUUAAUUUAGCAGAUGCCUCCCACCUUAUUUUUGUGUGUCAAAAUCAUUUUAGUUGUUACGACUUCUCAGACUUUCUUAAGAAAUUUUAGAGUAAUUUUGACUGUAUCUGUAAAAAUUAUCUUUCUGAGAUUUUGAUGGAAAUUGUGUUAAGUCUCUGUUUCAGUUUGGGGAGAAUUAACAUUUUUACUGUGCAAAAUCUUCUAAUCCCUGAACAUAGUUUGUCUUUAUAUAUUUAGAUAUUUGUUUUGUAUAUAUUUUAAUAGUUUUAAGCAUACAAGUCCUAUACAUGUUUUGUUAGAUUUUCACUUAAAGUCAUUUUUUGAGCAACUCUAUUUGAUAUUAUUUUUUAAUUUCAGUUUUCUCAUGUUCAUUGCUACUAUACAAAAAUGGAAUUGACUUUUGAAUGAUCUUGUAUUCUGCAACUUUGUUAAAUGCACUUAUUAUUUUGAGAUUUGUAUUUGCAUUUUUUUCUUUUUUAGAGUCUAUGGGAUUUUUUUGCAUAGAAGAUUAUGUAAUCUAUAAAGAAGGACAGUUUUAUUUCUUCGUUUCUGAUCUCUAUGUCUUUUCCCUAAUUUCCAGGCCUUUUUUUCUACUGGCAAGAACUACUGGCACUGUGUUGAAUAAAAGUGAUGAGAGCAAACAUGCUUGUCAUAUUUUGAAUUUUAGGAGGAUAAUAUUCAGUUUUUCAUCAAGAGAAUACAAUCCUGUAAACCUUGUAUAGCACUAUGGGAUGCAUGUGAAGUGCUACUAGUGAUGCUGAAAGUGCUCCUGAGAAGCAGAAAAGUCACAAUAUUACAAGAAAAUGUUUAAUUGCUUGAUGUGUGUCCUAGAUUAUGGCCUGUAGCUGCUGUUGCCCAUUUCAAGAUAAAGUAAUCCAGUAUAAGACCUAUUUGAAAAGAGAGAAAUGGAAAUUUGUGAAGCAAUCACUGUAGCCAUGCCAGCAGGUGCAAAAACCUUCAUGGUAUUUAAAAUAUAUUUUAUCUUGUACUGAAAAUGCAGCUUUAAUGUGGAUGCAGGAUUUUAAGAGUCAUGCUUACAGUCUCUAAUAUGAUUUGAGAGAAGCAAUUAUUAUAUAAAAACAUAAGGCAAAAGCAAGUUAAAAGAGCUAAAGGUGGAUAAUAUAAAACCAGCAAAGGAUGGUUUGAUCAUUUUAGAGUCUUGGCUUUAAAAAAAAAUGUCAAUAUAACAGGAGAAGCAGCUUCUAUUGACUAAAAGGCAGCACAUAAGCUCCCAAAUGUCAUUAAGAAAACCACUGGGGAAGAUGGCUACCUGCCUGAACAGGUUUUUAAUGCAGAAAAAAAAUGCCUUAUUAUGAGAAAUUAAAUUAUCCUCUUUUUUUCUGAUUAUAUGAUCCUAUAUUUGUAAGCCUAAAGACUUAACCAAAAGAAUUAUUAGAACUGAGAAACAAAUUCAAUAAAGUUGCAAGAUACAAAACCA